AAUCGCUUCGCUAUCUCUACAACGCGUGACAGAUGUGACGAAAAAUUUUCAUUGUUACAAGAGAUAUAUAACUCAAAUAAAAGAUGACACGAAGAGCAUUCUAUGUAGUUGAAUUCAUAGAUUUGCCUUUUACAAGUAUUGAUGAAUUCGUAUGCGUACCGUAUACAUGGCUGAUAUCAUAUAACAGGAUGAAAGACAUGGCCGUUGUUGCGUACCCUAAAGACGAAGAUCCUAUUGAUACAAGAGAUCGUGUGAAGAGGAAGGAGAGACCCAAUUAUGAGUGGAGAUUUUAUUUGGCUAUUGUCUCCUAUAAAUCAGAUUCUUACAGAGACGCAGUAUCUUGGAUCGGUACGAGAAAUUAUCCCUAAUCUUUGGUUGAAGAAGAAUCAAAAGUAACAGAUAAGCAACCAAAGCUUCCGAUGAAUAAGAAACUGCGCAGUGCCUAUCAACCAAAAAGAUCACGUCCCACGGAAAUGGAAAGAAAUUGGUCCAUCCAUGGAUCCAUUGAAUUCAAUCGACCAAACCAGACAUUUGUCGACGCGUUCAGUACAACAACUAAUAGUGGUUAGUCAUAAUCAAUCUCAAAACGAUCCACGAAUUUAGGAACGCACUUAUAUUCCUCAAGGUCAUGUGGGAAAAAUGUGUAUGUACAGGGCCAACAAAGGAGUGGAGGCCCUCAAAUUAUUUUCCACGUGAAAUUAUGUAUUUAUGUAAAAUACAAAA